UGGUGGAGGCAGGCAAUAAACAUUUAGAUUGGUACAUGGACAUGAUAGGUUUAGAGGAAUAUGGGCCAAAUGCAGGUAGGUGGGACUAGUGUAGA